UACGGGGGGGGGCAAGCGUUGUUCGGAAUUACUGGGCGUAAAGGGCUCGUAGGCGGCCAACUAAGUCGGAUGUGAAAUCCCCAGGCUCAACUUGGGAACUGCAUCCGAUACUGGAUGGCUUGAAUUCGGGAGAGGGAUGCAGAAUUCCAGGUGUAGCGGUGAAAUGCGUAGAUAUCUGGAGGAAUACCGGUGGCGAAGGCGGCGUUCUGGACUGUAACUGACACUGAAAGACGAAAGCCAGGGGAGCAAACGGG
rnacentral:rRNA from 1 species